CCCAGUUCAACCUGCCCGCCGCCAGGUCUAGCAUACCGUCGCCGCCGGCCGGGAGAGGUAGCUACUCCGCCUCCUCCUCCCCUCUUCCUUCCCCUACCUCCCUCCUUCCUGCCUCGGCCCGGCGAGCCACUGCUGCGUGCGUGACCAGGGACAAGCCCUUGAUUUUUGUUUGACAAGGGAUGAGGCCUGCCAAUUUGUUUCUACGGAGAGCCCUUGUUGUUUACAGAGAGCCCUUGUUGUUUACAGAGAGCCUACACUUAUGUCAAUAUUAUUUUGUCAACUACUGUAUCUAUCUUUUGUACAGAGAGCCGUAUAUGUUUCAGACCAAAAAUUUGCUUCUCUAUUCCCUUGUGAUUAUCAUGUCCAGGUUGACCUGCUCCUGUGCGUGCAGGGCAACAUCGACGCUGGACCAGAUGGACGAGCUGCAGUGCCAAACUGGGAGAGGAAUAGACGCUCCAGCAGAGUGAUUAUGCGUGUGUGUAUGUGGAGAAGAUAACUGGGUCGAUUGAUUUGAUGUUAAUUUGUUUGCUUCACUCUGUUUAUUUAUGGCUACGAUGACGGCAGCGUCACACGAGAUGAGGCGCAGGUGGGCGCCGAGGGGGAGAGCCAGCAGCCGGCGCUGGAGUACGAGGAGAGGAUCCACAAGUUCCCCGGCGCGAUGGUUGACGGGGAGAGACGACACUGCCGGUUUGCUGAAGUGGUAGGUUGCCAUUCAGAUAAGCGGAAGCCGUGUUCGGAGCCACCGACAGUGUCUUCCCUGGAUUCGUUCGUGUAAUAAGGAGGGUACCCGACCUUCUUCACGUGUCAAGCAACAAGUAAGGACCAGCCUUGUUUAGGCUGGUGGUGGAAUGCUAGAGAAGUGGUCUGUUUAGGUUGGUGGUGGAAUGCUAGGGAAGGUACCCACCUUUAGAUGAUGGUUGUGUUCGUCUGAUGUUAAA